rnacentral:rRNA from 1 species
GUGGGGAAUAUUGCACAAUGGGCGCAAGCCUGAUGCAGCCAUGCCGCGUGUAUGAAGAAGGCCUUCGGGUUGUAAAGUACUUUCAGCGGGGAGGAAGGGAGUGAGGUUAAUAACCUUAUUCAUUGACGUUACCCGCAGAAGAAGCACCGGCUAACUCCGUGCCAGCAGCCGCGGUAAUACGGAGGGUGCAAGCGUUAAUCGGAAUUACUGGGCGUAAAGCGCACGCAGGCGGUCUGUCAAGUCGGAUGUGAAAUCCCCGGGCUCAACCUGGGAACUGCAUUCGAAACUGGCAGGCUGGAGUCUUGUAGAGGGGGGUAGAAUUCCAGGUGUAGCGGUGAAAUGCGUAGAGAUCUGGAGGAAUACCGGUGGCGAAGGCGGCCCCCUGGACAAAGACUGACGCUCAGGUGCGAAAGCGUGGGGAGCAAACAGGAUUAGAAACCCUAGUAGUCC